AGUGUCGUUGUGUUAUUUUUUAUAUAUUUGUCAUAUUCAUUCUGUACUUCGGUGUAUUUAUUUUCGAAAAGGUGUAUGAAUAGUCAGUUUGCUACCGACAGUGAACGAAAUCGGUCGAUAGUCUCAAGGGAAUCAAAAUCAUGUUUUUAAAAUAGUUUUUUGCAAGUAAAAUGUUGGGCCGCAAAGGGUUAAAACAGUUUCAUGUUUUCUGUUAAACAUGACGCCGCCUUUUUGGACGUUGCUCCAGAACCAUUUGACCACACAUCGUUGGAUAAGGACUUGGUAAUUCGAUUCAGUUAUACCAAUGUGCCUGAACAAAGUUUCUACUGGCUUUACUUUGGAAGUUGGCAUUUUUUAUUGAAGAGUAUGCAGUUGCCUGGAAGCGUUCAUUUUCAAAUCAACAUUUACGCACUGGACAAAAUUGAGGAUUUCACGUGAUUUGAAUGAAUUUUUGACGACAUUUAGAGCACAGGCUUCUUUACUGAACGCAUAACACUGAACUUCCGGCAGGUGGAAGGGAAUACUUUCAGCGUUAUUCCAGCCUGGCCUGGAUUUCAUGGUGUCCUACCUUAUUAAAUUAAUCAAAACUAGUUAAGAAGGUCACAAGCGAACUCCACCUUCAUGGCACAUUGAUGACGUAAAAAGAAAGGAUUUUAUUUCGAUAAGGACAAUAAUAAUGAUGUACAAAAUAUUUUAGAAAUCUGUUAAAUGAUAAAUCAACAUCUAAAACCCCAGUUUGAAACAGAAAAAUUCGUUCCAGUUUUUCCCAACGUUGUCGAAGUUGACUAAAACAAAUGCUCUUAAACGUCCAGUGGUUUAAUCCAAGUUAUACGAUAGUAUGUAUGCGCAAUCGAAUUUGGAGCUACAAUAGGCACUUGCAUACGUUAUGUUUGAACUCUUCACAGGUCGCUCUUUCUGCAAGAAUGCCAAGCAAUUGGG